AUUGAACGCUAGCGGGAUGCCUUACACAUGCAAGUCGAACGGAGUGGCGAACGGGUGAGUAAUGUAUCGGAACGUGCCCAGUAGCGGGGGAUAACUACCCGAAAGCGUAGCUAAUACCGCAUACUAUUGGAGCGGCCGAAAUCGGUUUAGCGAGUUGGUGGGGUAACGGCUCACCAAGGCGACCAUCCGUCGCUGGUUUGAGAGGCGGACCCGCCACACUGGGACGGGGACAGGGCCCGGACGCCUACGGGAGGCAGCAGUGGGGAAUUUUGGACAAUGGGGGAAGCCCUGAGCCGGCCAUCCCGCGGGUGCGAUGAGGGCCUUCGGGUUGUAAAGCACUUUUGGCAGGAAAGCGGUACCUGCAGAAUAAGCACCGGCUAACUACGUGCCAGCAGCCGCGGUAAUUC
rnacentral:rRNA from 1 species